CUAGUAAGUCUUAUCUGCCAUAGUCUUUUAAGUAAAUGUGAUUUAGUCCCUGCUAAAUUUCAUAUGAAAUUAUAAAUGAUGCCCUACUUUCAGUGACAUGAAUAAUCAAGCUAUCAUACCCUGUAAAUUUAAUCCUUACCUUCAACACAGAACCUGUUCUUUCAUUGCAUUAAGUUACUGCUUCUAAUUUUCUAUUUCCCUGCAGUAUCCAUGGCCAGUGUGCGAUUAUAAUGUUUGAUGUAACCUCAAGGUUGACUUACAAGAAUGUUCCUACAUGGCAUAGGGACCUGUGCAGGUUUGUUUCAAUCUUUCUGUGUCAUACAACUUGCACUUUGAUGUAUAAUGUUGGGGGAUUCUGAUGUUCAAUUAUGAAUUCUUGCAGGGUGUGUGAAAACAUCCCCAUUGUCCUGUGCGGUAACAAGGUUGAUGUGAAGAACAGGCAGGUCAAGGCCAAGCAGGUCACCUUCCACAGGAAGAAGAACCUGCAGUACUAUGAGAUUUCUGCCAAGAGCAACUAUAACUUUGAGAAGCCUUUCCUUUACCUUGCAAGGAAGUUGGCUGGGUAACUAACUAAUUACUUUAAUUUUUCGCAUCUUGAGGUUACAGCAAAUACCUACAUAUAUUAAUUAUUGUCGAUGGCUUUGGUCCUAUCAGCGAUCCCAACCUCCACUUUGUUGAAGCCGUUGCUCUUAAGCCUCCGGAAGUUACCAUUGAUAUGGCUAUGCAGCAACAG
rnacentral:lncRNA from 1 species